CCAGGUCAUGAAUAUCGAGCAGGAUCAAUAAUAUAAUAAUUCAUAAAAAGCAAUUUACAAAUCAAAGCAAUCCAUAAAACGUCAGUUGAAACGAUUUUUAAAAUAAAAACCGCUGUGUAAAGUCAAGGAAAUUCUCGUAAUCAUAUGUAAUCAUGGUUUAUCGUCCUCGUCCCUCGUUAUCGUCAUCAUCAUUAUGUGCUACAUUUUGUGGUGACUUAUUGCCAAAACGGUGGAGAAUGGCACACUUGCCGCAGGCAUAUUUAUUCCCCGAGAUAUACAAGUUUUUACGAUCAAAAUGAUAAAUGGUUAUUUAAAUAGUACGAUGUCGCGGAACAUAUGUGAAUGGAUGAAAAGGAUCUGAUGUGAUAUAAAAUUGCAGCGUUUCCAUAAGCCAUCCGAGACAUUUCCACGUGUUUUUCGAUAAUAAAUGAUAGAAAUUCAAAAACAUUUAAAAAAAAUUAUACUAGCAUCCAAGGCGUAAAAAGAAAAUGUUACCUACUCUAGAAAGGUGAGCCGUCUGAUAAACACGAGCAAGGCAGGGUUGCUUAUUAGCGCACAGAGGCAAUUUGAUCUGAAAAUAACAGCAAGAACGCGUCGCGCCGGCCUAUUAAUAAACAGGUCAUCCGAUUAAGCGGGGCGAGGUGAAUUUCUGUGAUUUCCCGUGGGGCCCUUAGAUUGAGUUUAUCGGGAAUCCGCGCGAGCACCAACAUCUGAAGCACGCGGAAUUGGAAUGAAUGAAUGUCGGACGCGACCAACAAGACGCUCGCAAUUUCUUUUUCCCAAUCGUUUUAUAGACUAAAAGAGACCGUCACGUUCAAGAACCUAUGAAAAUUUGUCUUUUUCUAUUUUAUUUUACAAGAAACAAAAAAAAUUGUUUUAAAAAGUCUAAAA